AGAAAUGUUUGCAUAUUUUUUCGAUUUUUGUUUCGCUACGGACACGGCGUCGUCUCUCUGUGUAAUUUCGAGAAGAAUUAUAUCGCUCUGCGAGAGAGAAUACGGUGUUCGUUAGCCAUUAAUAAUUUGCACGUGGGAAGAGAGGAGAGACGAGAUUUGUGGAGCAUCAACAUCAUCGGGAGAAUACUGUAGAAUUUAACGUCCUACGACCCACGGCUUAGGCCGUAAUAAACCUCUUCGCCUAUUUUCCGGAGCGAAAAUGAAAUAACGGCUGCACCGGCGGAUAUAACGCACCGAGGGACCGUUCUUUGUGGGCAUCGAAACGGUAUCGACGCAUCCCGAAGGCCCCGGGGGGAUUCGAACCCCCGAUCUCCUGUUUACUAGACAGGCGCUUUAACCAACUAAGCCACGGCGCCACAUAUUCGGACGAAUCUUCUGCGAAAUUCAGAACACCGGCCGUCUGCUGGAUAGAGCUUUUUCGUCUAUCGACUAGGUGAAAUAGGGAUCGCGAGUGAACGCUCAACGUAUGAAAAGCUCUUCGAUUAAUUCAUCCAACCGCCGCAUUAGCUGCUGCAAUUCGAUGAGACUCGCAAUUGGAAAAUAAUGAAUAAAAAGCAUCAUGAUAAAAAAAAACAUGAAAAAUAGAUUACCUCAACAUUAUAACGUAGAAAAAUACGUUACGUUGGCACGCAUUAAUGCGCGCAUUCUCGUAAUUUUGUGCACCGUGAGGUAGAAAAUACACCACUGACGGGUGAAUAGUUGAUGAACUAAUAACUAUUUUGUAAUUAUUAAAUUGAAGCGCAAUAUCGAUGUAACGUACACUGUCGGCCAAAAGUUUGGGCACAACAGUCAAAAUUUCUUGCCGUACUAACGAUUAAAAUCGAGAGCAAACUUUUUGAAAAAAUACGUAACGGGGUAAAAAAAAAAAAUCUUAGAGAAUUUCUCGAAGAGGGAAAAUAAAGGUAGAUUUGUCCUCUUAGAAAAGUUGUUCGGGGACUUUGAUUGACUUCAUUUUUGAGUCCGUUAUCCAAGUUUUGGUGCUGCAAAAAAUUUCGAGGGGUACACCCAAUUUUUCGGCCGGCAAUGCCCGAUAAAUUUUGCACGCUACUUGUACCUGUCGUUUGCGUUUACGUCAUAGAGGUGGAAUUAUUGUUUCAUAGAUAGGAUGUCGUUGGGGCAGUUUGUCAAGAGUUUA